rnacentral:rRNA from 1 species
CAAUAGCGUAUAUUAAAGUUGUUGCAGUUAAAAAGCUCGUAGUUGGAUUUGUGGCGUACGGUGUGUUCCGGGCACUUGUUGUCUGAGUAACCUGCUGUUGCCAUCCUUGGGGGGAACCUGUGUGGCAUUAGGUUGUCGUGCAGGGGAUGCCCAUCAUUUACUGUGAAAAAAUUAGAGUGUUCAAAGCAGGCUUAUGCCGUUGAAUAUAUUAGCAUGGAAUAAUGAGAUAGGACUUUUUUGCUAUUUUGUUGGUUUGCGCAAAGAGGUAAUGAUUAAUAGGGACAGUUGGGGGUAUUCGUAUUCCAUUGUCAGAGGUGAAAUUCUUGGAUUUUUGGAAGACGAACUACUGCGAAAGCAUUUACCAAGGAUGUUUUCAUUAA